rnacentral:rRNA from 2 species
UGCAGUCGAGCGACAGAAGGGAGCUUGCUCCCGGAUGUUAGCGGCGGACGGGUGAGUAACACGUGGGUAACCUGCCUGUAAGACUGGGAUAACUCCGGGAAACCGGAGCUAAUACCGGAUAGUUCCUUGAACCGCAUGGUUCAAGGAUGAAAGACGGUUUCGGCUGUCACUUACAGAUGGACCCGCGGCGCAUUAGCUAGUUGGUGGGGUAAUGGCUCACCAAGGCGACGAUGCGUAGCCGACCUGAGAGGGUGAUCGGCCACACUGGGACUGAGACACGGCCCAGACUCCUACGGGAGGCAGCAGUAGGGAAUCUUCCGCAAUGGACGAAAGUCUGACGGAGCAACGCCGCGUGAGUGAUGAAGGUUUUCGGAUCGUAAAGCUCUGUUGUUAGGGAAGAACAAGUGCGAGAGUAACUGCUCGCACCUUGACGGUACCUAACCAGAAAGCCACGGCUAACUACGUGCCAGCAGCCGCGGUAAUACGUAGGUGGCAAGCGUUGUCCGGAAUUAUUGGGCGUAAAGGGCUCGCAGGCGGUUUCUUAAGUCUGAUGUGAAAGCCCCCGGCUCAACCGGGGAGGGUCAUUGGAAACUGGGAAACUUGAGUGCAGAAGAGGAGAGUGGAAUUCCACGUGUAGCGGUGAAAUGCGUAGAGAUGUGGAGGAACACCAGUGGCGAAGGCGACUCUCUGGUCUGUAACUGACGCUGAGGAGCGAAA